CCCCGAGCGCAGCCCCCGGGCGCCCGGCGCAGCUCCCACGGCGCGGCGCGCAGGCCCCCGCAGGCCGGUCCCCAGCCGGGGGGCGCGGUGACAAGUGCCAGCCGGGCCGGCGGCCGGGGCGCGCGGCUGCACCGGCCCCGCCACUCACCGCCCGCCGCGCUCCUCGCCCCGGGUCCGCCGCCGCCGCCGCCGCCGCCGCCCUCCCCGGCUCGCCUCUGCCCGAGCGCGCCGCCGCCGCUGGACCGCCCGGGCGCCGCCGACAAACUAGUUUCUCAGGCCUUCCCGCCCCGCCUCCCGGCGCGAAGCCAAUCAGAAGCGGCGCCUCUGUGACGGACGGGCGGCCGAACCCGUAGUUGAGCCCGCGGCGGGAGAAAGGGGCGGGCGCCCGGGCCGCGCCGGCUCCGCGAGGGGGGCGGGGCGGGCGGAGGAGCCAGACUUUGACCAGAUUCUUAAAGGGACAGGCCCCCGCCCGCCCCCGCGGCCGAAGUUUAGGAACAAAACCCGUCGGUGUUCUAGAGCUUUCCGAAGGACGGAACUUCGUGGAUUGCAAACGCCGCUUCUGGACCGGAUGUGCGGAGCCACGCUUUUGGCCGUGGAAGUGUUAGGGAAACUCCUUCGUUGUACUCUGGGCUUGUUUCAGGGUUUGCGAUUUUCUGCAGCCGCUAAGCCUCAUUGCGUACUUGGGACAUGUCUUUUUCAGUGCUUCAGCCCUCCGACCCAUGCCAUUCCUAAGUUCUUUAUUUUUGCAUCUUGUCCCACGGCUUCAGGUUGCUGGGUAUCCAAUGUGUUCAUCUGUAACGGGGCAGUUGAAGAGUCCUAUUUCCCGGGCACCGGGGUGGCUCAGUGGCUGAGAGUCUGCCUCCCGCCCAGGUCAUGAUCCCCGGGUCCUUGGAUGCGCCCUGCCUCGGGCUCCCUGCACGGAGCCUGCUUCUCCCUCUGCCCCUGUCUCUGCCUCUCGGUGUGUCUCUCAUAAAUAAAUAAAUAAAAUCUUAAAGAAAAAAAGAGAGU
rnacentral:lncRNA from 12 species